rnacentral:lncRNA from 1 species
ACAAAUGAAAGAAAAUUGGAACUAAAACUUCAAUAAUCAUCAUCUAUUCUGGUUUACCUACUUUACCAAUUUGUGUGCCAAUGUUUGGGCUUUUCUUUAUGCUUUAAGAAGUUGUUUGAGGCUUCUAAAGAACAUGGCCCCUUCAUCAAGCUCAAUAAAUGUGGCUUUUACCAGGGGAUCAGUGGUUUACUUGGCACCAUUAACAGGGUUAAGAUUCACUCAUUUAAUCUGUUCACAGAAUUGGUACAGAUUUAGCAGAACUAUAAACCCUUAUGAAGAGGAUCACAAAAUGACUAUGAGAAUGGAACAGCUUCCUCACAAAGGCGCAAUAAAAAGACCACAUUUUUCAACAUGGGAAGGGCAUUUUGAUGAGUGAAAAAGAGAAGAUGCUAUUUUGCUGCACUUAUUCACAUACACCAUGCAUCGCCAGGUUUCAGCAUUGGAAAACUGUAGGCUCUUCCUCAAACCCACUACAGCAUAAUCCCCUGAUAGGCGUGGAACAGAGCUAAAAAUUUGUCAAUCUGAAAGGUAUGUUUUUAAAAAAUCAUGUACAUUCAAUGAAAUUAAAAUUUCCUAUAUAGAAAGAGAUUUGGUCUUUAUUUUCUUUUUCAAAAUAUAAAUAAAAUUCCGUUGGGUCCGAGUUCCUGCCUCA